GAUUGAACGCUGGCGGCAUGCCUUACACAUGCAAGUCGAACGGUAACGGGAGCUUGGACGCUGACGAGUGGCGAACGGGUGAGUAAUACAUAGGAACCUGCCUGGUAGUGGGGGAUAACGUUUCGAAAGGAACGCUAAUACCGCAUACGUCCUACGGGUGAAAGCAGGGGACCUUCGGGCCUUGCGCGAUUGGAGCAGCCUAGGUCGGAUUAGGUAGUAGGUGGGGUAAAAGCUCACCUAGCCGACGAUCCGUAGCUGGUCUGAGAGGACGACCAGCCACACUGGAACUGAGACACGGCCCAGACUCCUACGGGAGGCAGCAGUGGGGAAUAUUGGACAAUGGGCGAAAGCCUGAUCCAGCAAUGCCGCGUGCAGGAAGAAGGUCUUCGGGUUGUAAAGCACUUUUGUACGGAAGGAAGGGUUUCCUUCUAAUACAGUGCACCCAUGACGUUACCGUAAGAAUAAGCACCGGCUAACUCUGU
rnacentral:rRNA from 1 species